AACCCAUGGUGAGGGCACCUUCUCAAUAAGUCCUUAUACCUCUCCCAUGCAUUAUAUAAAGUCUCUAAAUCCAUUUGCACGAAGGAGGAGAUAUUGUUCCUCUGUCU
rnacentral:snoRNA from 1 species